UGGCUGAGUGGUAAAGCGCUUGGCUUCGGAAUCAGGGGGUCUGGGUUCGAAUCCUGG
rnacentral:tRNA from 1 species